CGAGAGGCGCUGCCGGGCCGGGGAUAUGUUGCCGGGCGGGAGCGGGCACGGAGCCGCGCUUUUGCCCACCGCCGGCCCGGUUCCCACGUAGCUCCGGUGCGAAAGGGCCCACUCUUGCACUCCUUGUUCCUGUAAAAAAGCAUAGGAUGCAGUGGCUACAGGGGUGAAAGGACUGGAGAAGCCAUUUCAAACCCAAAUUAAAGAGAGUUUGUUUUACCAUUUGGUGCUUAACUCUCUGAAGGCUCUGCUAUGUAGAACUGCAUACUUACUUCUGCAGUGCACAGGAGAGACAGCAUAAGGCAUAAAUGGGAAGAAGGGGUCAAGAGACGGUGAA